GUAAUGGUGUUUUUAGACACCACCCUUUAUCUUCAAAAAAAAUAAUU
rfam:Picea glauca, whole genome shotgun sequence.